AGGGGGGCAGCUCAGUGGUAGAACAUCUGCUUUGUGCGCAGAAGGUUCGAUCCCUGCCUUCUCCA